rnacentral:rRNA from 1 species
CUGGCUCAGGAUGAACGCUGGCGGCGUGCCUAACACAUGCAAGUCGAGCGAGGAGAUAAGAGUUUGCUCUUUGAUUUUAGCGGCGGACGGGUGAGUAACGCGUGGGUAACCUGCCCUAUACACAUGGAUAACAUACCGAAAGGUAUGCUAAUACAAGAUAAUACUAAGAUAAGGCAUCUUAUUUUAGUCAAAGCGUUAGCGGUAUAGGAUGGACCCGCGUCCCAUUAGCUAGUUGGUGAGGUAACGGC